AGGACGAACGCUGGCGGCGUGCUUAACACAUGCAAGUCGAGCGGAAAGGCCCUUCGGGGUACUCGAGCGGCGAACGGGUGAGUAACACGUGAGGAACCUGCCCUGGACUUUGGGAUAACCCUCGGAAACGGGGGCUAAUACCGAAUAUGACUUCCCCUCGCAUGGGGGUGGUGGAAAGUUUUUCGGUCUGGGAUGGUCUCGCGGCCUAUCAGCUUGUUGGUGGGGUAAUGGCCUACCAAGGCGACGACGGGUAGCC
rnacentral:rRNA from 1 species